UGCUAUAGCUUAGACCAACACAUGGGACACAUUUUGUGGGAUUUAAAGCGUUCAUCUUGUGUCUGUGCUGCAGGAUGCUGCUGCUCAUCUGCCUCUAUGCUGAUUUCUGGAAAUCCUGGGAGGGAGCUUGCCUCUUCAAAUUCAAGCUGAAAGGCAGUGAUGACUCCAGGAACUCCUGCAUCAUUUGGGGAUUUAAUGACCAAAACACUUUAUUGGCCUCUAAACUGGACUUGUGGCUUUGUGGACAACUGGCACUUUAAUUCAGUGUUGAAGCCUGGUGAUAGUGGGAAGAACCGGACAAAGUGGAAUUAAAUUCAACAUCAUUAUUUUGA